rnacentral:rRNA from 1 species
UGAUGGAGAGUUUGAUCCUGGCUCAGGACGAACGCUGGCGGCGUGCUUAACACAUGCAAGUCGAGCGGUAAGGCCCUUCGGGGUACACGAGCGGCGAACGGGUGAGUAACACGUGAGCAACCUGCCCCCGACUCCGGGAUAAGCCGGGGAAACCCGGUCUAAUACCGGAUAGGACGCCCUGUCGCAUGGCGGGGUGUGGAAAGGUUUCUUUCCGGUCGGGGAGGGGCUCGCGGCCUAUCAGCUUGUUGGUGGGGUGAUGGCCUACCAAGGCGAUUACGGGUAGCCGGCCUGAGAGGGCGACCGGCCACACUGGGACUGAGACACGGCCCAGACUCCUGCGGGAGGCAGCAGUGGGGAAUAUUGCGCAAUGGGCGGAAGCCUGACGCAGCGACGCCGCGUGGGGGAUGACGGCCUUCGGGUUGUAAACCUCUUUUACCACUGACGCAGGCCCGUGCUUUUGUGCGGGUUGACG